rnacentral:rRNA from 1 species
AACUAACGCUGGCGGCGUGCCUAACACAUGCAAGUCGUACGAGAAAGUUGGCUUCGGCCGAUGAGUACAGUGGCGCACGGGUGAGUAACGCGUGGAUAAUCUGCCCUUAAGUGUGGAAUAACGUACCGAAAGGUGCGCUAAUACCGCAUAAUGCCUGGCAACAUAAGUUGUCCGGCCAAAGAAGGCCUCUGCUUGCAAGCUUUCGCUAAAGGAUGAGUCCGCGUACCAUUAGCUAGUUGGUGGGGUAACGGCCUACCAAGGCGACGAUGGUUAGCUGGUCUGAGAGGAUGAUCAGCCACACUGGAACUGAGACACGGUCCAGACUCCUACGGGAGGCAGCAGUGAGGAAUAUUGGGCAAUGGGGGAAACCCUGACCCAGCGACGCCGCGUGGGUGAAGAAAUCCUUCGGGAUGUAAAGCCCUGUUGUAUGGGAAGAGCGGAAGACGGGUACCAUACGAGGAAGCCCCGGCAAACUACGUGCCAGCAGCCGCGGUAAUCUCGU